GACGAACGCUGGCGGCGUGCCUAACACAUGCAAGUCGAACGACAAACCCGAGUUUGGUUGCGCACGAGGGCGUGACGCGUGGGAAAAUACGCUUGGGUUCUACCUCGCUGACCGGGAGAAGUCCUAAUACCGCAUACUAUCUUCGGACCAAAGAUUUAUCGCUUUUGGUUGUGACUGCGUUGGAUUCGCUGUUUGGUAUGGUAAGAGCCUACCAAGGCAACGGUUCGUAGCUGGUCUGAGAGGAUGAUCAGCCACACUGGGACUGAGACACGGCCCAGACUCCUACGGGAGGCAGCAGUGGGGAAUAUUGCACAAGGGAGUAAAGCAUGAUCCAGCAAUGCCGGGUGAGUGGUGAAGGCCGUAGGGUUGGAAAGCUCUUUUACCCGGGAUGAGAAUGACGGUACCGGGAGAAGAAGCUCCGGCUAACUACGUG
rnacentral:rRNA from 1 species